UUCCUCAGAUGAUCACACCCACUUUGCUUCACUUUCAUGUCCAGAGCUGCUUAGACUGAUUUCUGCAAAGUGCACAGGCAUUUUCAUGCUGAGGAUAAAGGACCAUGAUCGCUUGUCUGGACCCAGAAAAUAUUUCCCAUUUGCUACACAGAUGCCGUCUCAUCCUUCCAGAGUUCAAGACUUCAGCAGAAAAAAAAAUCACCUCAUUAAAGGAAAAUUGUGCCUUAUCCCCACUACUCGAAGAUGCAACCAUCUGCCUGGUCACAGCCACUUUUUUCCUUUUUUUCGCACUCCAUCGUAUGUGUGUGUGGUGGGGCAGGGGAUAAGGGGAAUAAUCUCUCUCCAGUAUAAGAAGGGAUCAAGAAGCAACAGGACUGCGGGAUGGGAUAGAAAAUAAUUUUCAUCUUAGCAAUAUUGAGUAUUCCAGUACAUGAGUAUUGUAUGUUUCUCAAUUCACUUAGAUCCUUAAUUUCCCUUAGUCAUGUUUUGUGAUUUUCAGUAUACAAAUCUUGUACUCUGUAUUAAACCAUUCUUGCAUUGCUGUAAGUGUGUGGCCCUUUACAGGGGGUCCCAGAGAGCCUUCUUUCUGCUAUGCGAGGAUACAAGAGGAAUUCAACAAUCUGCAAUCUGGAAGAUAACCCUCCCAGAACCCAAUCAUGCUGGCACCCUGAUUUUGAACUUUCAGCCUCCAGAACUGUGAGACAUCAAUGUAUUUUGGGAGAUAGAAGUUCAUGAAGCAGAAGCACAACAGGUGGUGGUUUGUCCUUUAAGCAAGUACUCAAUAAUUAAGGCUGAUCUCUUUGACUCUUCACUGGGAGCAGAAAAAGAGAGAGAGAUGCUGAAGAUGGAAGAAUGGACACAAUAGAAUUUGCUAUCCCUUCGUAUGUCUUGAGAUCUAGUACAAAGAUUCUGGGACAAGAAUAUUCGUGCUUUGUUUAGGGAACAGCAAGAGAAGUCACAGUUACUGGAGCAGAGUGACAGAUAAAGGGAGAGUUUUGCAGUUUUUUAUGAAGUUGAACAUACACAUAUCCUAAGAGCCAGUUAUUUCGAUCUUCUUUAUCAAAGGGAAAUAAAAACAUAUUUCUUCAAAA
rnacentral:lncRNA from 10 species